UUACGACCACAUCAGGUUGGAACACAGAUUCCCAUGCGAUCACCGAAGUUAAGCAACGUGAAACCUGGUCAGUGCCUUGAUGUAUAACUGCUUGGGAAUACCAGGUGCUGUAA